rnacentral:rRNA from 1 species
CCUACGGGGGACUGCAGUGAGGAAUAUUGGUCAAUGGGAGAGAUCCUGAACCAGCCAAGCCGCGUGAGGGAAGACGGCCCUAUGGGUUGUAAACCUCUUUUGUCGGAGAACAAAACCCGGGACGUGUCCCGGACUGCGUGUAUCCGAAGAAAAAGCAUCGGCUAACUCCGUGCCAGCAGCCGCGGUAAUACGGAGGAUGCGAGCGUUAUCCGGAUUUAUUGGGUUUAAAGGGUGCGUAGGCGGUCCGUUAAGUCAGCGGUACAAUUGCGGGGCUCAACCCUGUCGAGCCGUUGAAACUGGCAGACGUGAGUUGGCGAGAAGUACGCGGAAUGCGCGGUGUAGCGGUGAAAGGCGUAGAUAUCAGGAGGAACACCGGUGGCGAAGGCGGCCUGCUGGACUGCAACUGACGUUGAGGCCCGAAAGCGUGGGGAGCAAACAGGAUUAGAUACCCUUGUAGUC